rnacentral:lncRNA from 1 species
GACUUGCUAUAGUUUAUUAUUUAAACAAUUAUUUUAUUUUAGUUUUGUUUGGACUUGUAUUCUGGCCAUAUUUUAUCUUUUAAGUUUUAGAGUGUUGGGCUAUGUUUUGGUCUUAUGUUUUAAUACUUAUGUGUUUGAUGUGUUAUUUUAGUGUGUGAUUGGGCUUGGGUCUUGUGUGUGGUUCGACCAGCCCGAAAAAGAGUGUCUUAGGGUUUUAUUUUCUCUCCUUACUAUAUAAGGAUAAGAAACACUUGUAAGAUGCAGCUUUGAAUCUAAAUUUUCAGAAUUCUUUUCAUGUCUUUGGCAUCUAUUGCUUUGAGUGAGAGUGAGGAUUUGCUUUCAUCAAUUGCACCAAGAAUCUUGACUAACUUAUCAACUAUUUGUUGUGGUAUUUAUCAGAUUCUCAUAUAAAUCCUUCGAUCAUUGGUGUUUUAGCUUCUCUAAGUGUGGGGUGCCAUAGGAGGUAGGUUUAUUAAAUCUUUGGGUUGCAUAUCUACUUGUACGUGUGGGUUUGAGGCUUGUGCCAUAGAGUUCCACGUCAAUUGAGUUUUCCUUUUCUUUCUUGUUGUUUUUGGUGAAAGCUUUUUUAUCUAUGGCUGCACCUUCUUGAUUAUUAAUCAUUGCAUAAUCUCUUUUGGAAGAAAAUUCGAAAUCCGUAAAAAAAAAAUCGCCUUUGCUUUAUUUAUCUUGAUCUGGUCGAAAUUGUGAUAUAAUUCCUAUUUCAUCCAUAUUGCCUUACCUAUCUCAAUUGAUUGCUGUAAUUUAUGGGAAUCAAUUUUGAAUUUUGAAUUUUGAAUUGGGUUGAAUCCAGAUUAGGAGACAAAAGAAAUAUGCCUAUUGAAUUUUUUUUUUCUUUUUUCUGAUUCUAUUUUUGGGGUUUUGAUACUUGCCUUUUUGGGUAGGUUUAAAUAGAUCCAUAUUUAAUUUGUUUUAAAGUGAAUUAAAUUCAAAAUUUUGUCCAGGUUCGUUUUUAUUUGAAUUCUAAGUUUCCUUUUUUGGUUUAAGCUUGCUUUUCCUUCCUUAACAUUGCUGGAGUAUUGUUUGCUUGUGUCUAUACUCUAGGUGAUAUUUUUCAAGUAGCACAAAACCUAGUUCGUGUGUUACUUUUCAAAUCGUCAGUAUCUUCUUUCUAGUUUUUUGCAUGCUUCCUUCUUUCUUGAGGUUUUCUUCUUUGUUUCAUUAAACGCACCUUGUGGUUGGUUGGUUGACCUUAGUUUCUAAAGUACAAUUAAAGAAUCAGCAAAAGAGUGGUAAGAGUGCAAACACUUGAGUGCUUUUAUUUCUGACACCAUAUUUGCUAGUUCUCUUUGUUCUUUAUUGAUUUAAGGUAGGAUGAGUAAAUAUAAAAAUGUGGUGGAUAGUGAUGAUGAAAGUGAAUGGGACAUGGCUAGUGAUUAUAAGCUCUUCAAAAACUCAGUUAGUGGUGAGUUUAGAAGGUUUUAUAGGACUCUUGAGAGGUUGACUGAAACUAUGGAGAGUUUGAAUGUCUCACAAGCUUCCACUUCUACAAGAAUACCUCAAAGAACUCAUAAUUGCAAUGACUGUGAUGAUUCGGGUGUAUUUGUUGAUAAUGUGUUGCUUGCUGAACACUGUGAGAUGCUUGUUACUAGGCGUGCUCUAAAUAUGCAGGUUAAGGAAGAAAGCCCAGAACAACGGAAAAACAUAUUUCACACUAGAUGUUUGGUUAAUGGAAAAGUAUGUACUCUCAUUAUUGAUGGAGGUAGUUGCACAAAUAUGGAUAGUGUGUAUGUGGUGGAGAAAUUGAGCUUGGCUUCUAUUAAACACCCUAAGCCAUAUAGAUUGCAAUGGUUGAACGAUUAUGGUGAGGUUAGGGUUACACGCCAGGUGGUUAUACCAUUUUCUAUUGGUAGGUACAAGGAUGAGAUCUUGUGUGAUGUGGUACCUAUGCAAGCAAGCCAUAUGUUGUUGGGUAGGCCGUGGCAAUAUGAUAGAAAGGUGCAACAUGAUGGGUUCAAUAACAAGUACUCCUUCACUCAUGAAGGACAAAGGGGAGUUAGAGCUUGAGUUCUGCAGAAAAAAUGAGAGAAAAGAGUGAGUCUGAGGGUAAAGGGGCUGAAAAAGAAUCAAGACUAGUUCAAGGAGGGAAGAUGGAGAAAGAAAAGGAGAAAGAAGAGGCUAGAGUUUCAAUCUCAACUUCCAUAGAGAUUGAAAUUGAAGAGGAAGUUGUAAUACAUGAAUCUAAUGUAGUUGUUGUUGAAAAUUCCAUCAAUGAGCUUAUAGAAGAGGUUGUGAAUAAUGGUGGACAUAGGGAGCACGUGAUUGAUGAGGUGGAGGAGGCAAAUGAGACUAUUUUGGAAGUUGUAGAGGAGAAUGGGUCACAUCCACAUGAUCUUUCUAUGACUAAUAUUUUUAUGCCUAGUUUAUUUGUUCUUAAUGUGCAAGUUGUUGAUGAAAACAUCCAUGACGAAAGUUUUAUGCUAUUUCCAUCUAUUCAAGAUGAGGUCUUUGAAGAUGCAUGGGUUCCUAAAGCUUCCCUUCUUGACAUAAAUAUCAGCAAGAUUCAAGGACGAAUCUUUUUUAAAAAAGGAGGAAAUGAUACAGAUCUAAUAGGGCAAAUUUCUAACAAUGGUAUGGAGCAAACUUAUGUCAUUCAAAUGGAUCUAAAAGGAGUUCAAAAUCAUAUUCAUAUGAUCCAUAUAUAUUUUGGGCGUGCUUCAACUCAUAUAGGGCAGAUUUGGUGCAACACUUACAAUCAUAAGCUUAGGGAGCCUAAUCAAACCUACGAGCUAAAACUACAUAAAGGGAAGCCUAAAGUGAAGAUCAAGAAAGGCUUUUGUGAAGAUUCAGCUUUGUUAUGAUGGACUUGCUAUUUGUUUGGGCUUGUAUUCUGCCAUAUUUUAUCAAGUUUUAGAGUGUUGGGCUAUGUUUUGGACUUAUGUUUUAAUACUUAUGUGUUGGAUGUGUUAUUUUAGUGUAUGAUUGGGCUUGGGUCUUGUGUGUGGUUCGGCUAGCCCGAAAAAGAGUAUCUUAGGGUUUUAUUUUCUCUCCUUACUAUAUAAGGAUAAGAAACACUUGUAAGAGGCAGCUUUGAAUCUAAAUUUUCAGAAUUCUUUUCAUGCCUUUGGCGUGUAUUGCUUUGAGUGAGAGUGAGGAUUUGCUUUCAUCAAUUGCACCAAGAAUCUUGGCUAACUUAUCAACUAUUUGUUGUGGCGUUUGUCGGAUUCUCAUAUAAAUCCUUCGAUCAUUGGUGUUUCAGCU